UACGGAGGGUGCAAGCGUUAUCCGGAUUUACUGGGUUUAAAGGGUGCGUAGGCGGGCAGGUAAGUCAGUGGUGAAAUCUCCGGGCUUAACCCGGAAGCUGCCAUUGAUACUAUCUGUCUUGAAUAUCCUGGAGGUGAGCGGAAUAUGUCAUGUAGCGGUGAAAUGCUUAGAUAUGACAUAGAACACCAAUUGCGAAGGCAGCUCACUGCGGGAUUAUUGACACUGAGGCACGAAAGCGUGGGGAUCAAACAGG
rnacentral:rRNA from 1 species